rnacentral:lncRNA from 1 species
UAUCUGGAGACAGGACCUUGCCAAGUUGCUGAACUCAGGAUCCUCCUGACUCAGCCUCCCAGACCAGGAGAAGAACCAGAGGAAGGUCCCGGUCACAGCCUGGGAAGGUGUUUGUCACCAUGAGGGCGCAGGCCCUGGGAACCCAGUGAGCCAGACACGGCACCGUCCUCUGGGGGCCAGACCAGGACGAGAGCUCUGCAGAGGGUCAGCCCACGGAGCUCAGAUCCCAGGAGGGCAGGUUGUGUCCCUGGGGCCACAGUUGCCGGGCCAACACGGCCAGGUCAGUGGGCCUCUGUUUCUGCCUCUUUCCCGCGGUCCACCGGGCUGGGCUGUGCCGUGCUGUGUUUUCCCG